GAUGAACGCUAGCGGCAGGCUUAACACAUGCAAGUCGAGGGGUAGGGGCUUUCGGGCCUUGAGACCGGCGCACGGGUGCGUAACGCGUAUGCAAUCUGCCUUGUACUGGGGGAUAGCCCAGAGAAAUUUGGAUUAAUACCCCAUAGUAUUUUCGGUUGGCAUCAACUGAUUAUUAAAGUUUUUCGGUACAAGAUGAGCAUGCGUCCCAUUAGCUAGUUGGUAUGGUAACGGCAUACCAAGGCUACGAUGGGUAGGGGUCCUGAGAGGGAGAUCCCCCACACUGGUACUGAGACACGGACCAGACUCCUACGGGAGGCAGCAGUGAGGAAUAUUGGUCAAUGGUCGCAAGACUGAACCAGCCAUGCCGCGUGCAGGAUGAAGCAUCUAUGGUGUGUAAACUGCUUUUGUACGGGAAGAAACACUGCUACGUGUAGCAGCUUGACGGUGCCGUAAGAAUAAGGAUCGGCUAACUCCGUGCCAGCAGCCGCGGUAACAC
rnacentral:rRNA from 1 species